rnacentral:rRNA from 1 species
GACGAACCAUCCAAACGUUAUUCGGAAUCACUGGGCUUAAAGGGUGCGUAGGCGGCCCGAAAAGUUGGGUGUGAAAUACCUCGGCCUAACCGAGGAAUUGCGCCCAAAACUGCCGGGCUCGAGGAAGACAUAGGUGAGCGGAACUUAGGGUGGAGCGGUGAAAUGCGUUGAUAUCCUAAGGAACACCAGUAGCGAAAGCGGCUCACUGGGUCUUAUCUGACGCUGAUGCACGAAAGCCAGGGGAGCGAACGGG